GCUGUAGCUUAUUGGUAGAGCACCUAUCUUGUAUGCAGAAAGUCCCAGGUUCAAUCCCUGACAACUCCA